rnacentral:rRNA from 1 species
AUUGAACGCUGGCGGCAGGCUUAACACAUGCAAGUCGAGCGGAGCGAGGGUGCUUGCACCUUAGCUUAGCGGCGGACGGGUGAGUAAUGCUUAGGAAUCUGCCUAUUAGUGGGGGACAACAUUCCGAAAGGAAUGCUAAUACCGCAUACGCCCUACGGGGGAAAGCAGGGGAUCUUCGGACCUUGCGCUAAUAGAUGAGCCUAAGUCGGAUUAGCUAGUUGGUGGGGUAAAAGCCUACCAAGGCGACGAUCUGUAGCGGGUCUGAGAGGAUGAUCCGCCACACUGGGACUGAGACACGGCCCAGACUUCUACGGGAGGCAGCAGUGGGGAAUAUUGGACAAUGGGCGGAAGCCUGAUCCAGCCAUGCCGCGUGUGUGAAGAAGGCCUUUUGGUUGUAAAGCACUUUAAGCGAGGAGGAGGCUACUUAGAUUAAUACUCUGGGAUAGUGGACGUUACUCGCAGAAUAAGCACCGGCUAACUCUGUGCCAGCCGCCGCAGUAA